CAUGAUUUAGCAAGAACAACCAAGCAAAGCGGACUAAAGCUUGCCCCCCCGAAACCCAAGCGAGCUACUUGCGAGCAGCUAGAAUUGAGCGAACCCGUCUCUGUCGCAAAAGAGUGGGAUGACUUGCUAGUAGAGGUGAAAAGCCAACCGAGCUGGGUGAUAGCUGGUUACCUGCCAAAUGAAUCUAAGUUCUCCCUUAAGUAAAGAUUAAGAGUAAUUCGACGGAGGUACAGCUCCAUCGAAAAAGAAUACAACCUCCUCCAGCGGAUAAGUAGGCCUUCAAGCAGCCACCAACAAAAGAGUGCGUCAAAGCUCCCCUACUAAAAAUCCAAAUACUAAUCUGACUCCCUCACCUAAAGCAGGUCAACCUAUGACAAUAGAAGAAUUAAUGCUAAAAUGAGUAACUUGGUCUACAGCGCAAACUUACAUUAACACAUUAUUAACAGCCACAACAAGAACUCGUAUCUGUUAAACCAACUCAGGAGCGCCCACAAGAUGAUUAAAAUCCGCAAAAGGAACUCGGCAAAUCAAAGACCCGACUGUUUCCCAAAAACAUAGCCUUCAGCAACCAACAAGUAUUGAAGGUGACGCCUGCCCAGUGACCAGCAACGUUCAACGGCCGCGGUAUCCUAACCGUGCGAAGGUAGCGCAAUCAAUUGUGCCAUAAAUUGAGACUUGUAUGAAUGGCUAAACGAGGUCUUAACUGCCUCCUGCAGAUAAUCAGUGAAAUUAGUAUCCUCGUGCAAAAACGAGAAUGUGACCAUAAGACGAGAAGACCCUGUGGAACUUUAAAAUCACGACCGGGCAUGGUCGACAUUUUUCGGUUGGGGCGACCUUGGAGAAAAACAAAACCUCCAAAUUUAUAGACCACACCUCUUAACUAAGAUCAACCCAUCAAAGUCCUAAUAGUAAUUAGACCCAAUAUAAUUGAUUAAUGAACCAAGUUACCCCAGGGAUAACAGCGCAAUCUCCUCCAAGAGCCCCUAUCGACAAGGAGGUUUACGACCUCGAUGUUGGAUCAGGACAACCUAAUGGUGCAGCCGCUAUUAAGGGUUCGUUUGUUCAACGAUUAACAGUCCUACGUGAUCUGAGUUCAGACCGGAGCAAUCCAGGUCGGUUUCUAUCUAUGAAUAAACUCCUCCCAGUACGAAAGGACCGGAGAAGUAGGGUCAAUACUACAAGCACACCCUAGCCUUCCAAGCAAUGAACUCAACUUAAUUGCCUAGAAAAGGAACAGCUAGCGUGGCAGAGCUUGGCAAAUGCAA
rnacentral:rRNA from 1 species